GUCGAACGAACUCUGGUAUUGAUUGGUGCUUGCAUCAUGAUUUACAUUUGAGUGAGUGGCGAACUGGUGAGUAACACGUGGGAAACCUGCCCAGAAGCGGGGGAUAACACCUGGAAACAGAUGCUAAUACCGCAUAACAACUUGGACCGCAUGGUCCGAGUUUGAAAGAUGGCUUCGGCUAUCACUUUUGGAUGGUCCCGCGGCGUAUUAGCUAGAUGGUGGGGUAACGGCUCACCAUGGCAAUGAUACGUAGCCGACCUGAGAGGGUAAUCGGCCACAUUGGGACUGAGACACGGCCCAAACUCCUACGGGAGGCAGCAGUAGGGAAUCUUCCACAAUGGACGAAAGUCUGAUGGAGCAACGCCGCGUGAGUGAAGAAGGGUUUCGGCUCGUAAAACUCUGUUGUUAAAGAAGAACAUAUCUGAGAGUAACUGUUCAGGUAUUGACGGUAUUUAACCAGAAAGCCACGGCUAACUACGUGCCAGCAGCCGCGGUAAUACGUAGGUGGCAAGCGUUGUCCGGAUUUAUUGGGCGUAAAGCGAGCGCAGGCGKUUUUUUAAGUCUGAUGUGAAAGCCUUUCGGCUCAACCGAAGAAGUGCAUCGGAAACUGGGAAACUUGAGUGCAGAAGAGGACAGUGGAACUCCAUGUGUAGCGGUGAAAUGCGUAGAUAUAUGGAAGAACACCAGUGGCGAAGGCGGCUGUCUGGUCUGUAACUGACGCUGAGGCUCGAAAGUAUGGGUAGCAAACAGGAUUAGAUACCCUGGUAGUCCAUACCGUAAACGAUGAAUGCUAAGUGUUGGAGGGUUUCCGCCCUUCAGUGCUGCAGCUAACGCAUUAAGCAUUCCGCCUGGGGAGUACGGCCGCAAGGCUGAAACUCAAAGGAAUUGACGGGGGCCCGCACAAGCGGUGGAGCAUGUGGUUUAAUUCGAAGCUACGCGAAGAACCUUACCAGGUCUUGACAUACUAUGCAAAUCUAAGAGAUUAGACGUUCCCUUCGGGGACAUGGAUACAGGUGGUGCAUGGUUGUCGUCAGCUCGUGUCGUGAGAUGUUGGGUUAAGUCCCGCAACGAGCGCAACCCUUAUUAUCAGUUGCCAGCAUUAAGUUGGGCACUCUGGUGAGACUGCCGGUGACAAACCGGAGGAAGGUGGGGAUGACGUCAAAUCAUCAUGCCCCUUAUGACCUGGGCUACACACGUGCUACAAUGGAUGGUACAACGAGUUGCGAACUCGCGAGAGUAAGCUAAUCUCUUAAAGCCAUUCUCAGUUCGGAUUGUAGGCUGCAACUCGCCUACAUGAAGUCGGAAUCGCUAGUAAUCGCGGAUCAGCAUGCCGCGGUGAAUACGUUCCCGGGCCUUGUACACACCGCCCGUCACACCAUGAGAGUUUGUAACACCCAAAGUCGGUGGGGUAACCUUUUAGGAACCAGCC
rnacentral:rRNA from 1 species